GAAGUGGAUGCCAUUGAGUCAGAGGUGAAAGUCAUGGAGAAAGAUGUGGCCAAAAUCAAAUCCACUCUGACCACCAAAGAAGACAUCAGUCAGGACAGUCUUAAGGUAAAAGAAAAAUUUGCCUUGUAUUUAAACAUUUGACCAGGUAUGGGCGUAACCAUAAUGAUGUAGUUACUAUUAAGAUCCUGAUUGCUGUGGGUGGUUUGUGUGUGUUUGCAGACAACAGAAGAAAGGAUUGACUUGAUGAAAAGGACAGUCACUGAGAUUCAGAACUGUAAGGAUGGUCUGUGUCUUCCUGACAAAGCUGAAAACACACUCUUAGUGUUCAAAAAAGCUGAACAACUACAGAAACAACUGCUGGAACUUGAACAGGUGUAUAUAUAUACUGUGUGCACACACAAGCAUGCGAACACAAUUCACACAAUGCUCAGUAUUAUGUUUGUCUCCUCUCAGCUGGCACUAGAAUACUCGAUUGAGGUACAGGAGACAUUUAUCCCACCUCUCUGUGUCACACCCCUCAAUGCUCCGCCCCUCAUUGCCCCAACCCUCAGUGUUCCACCCACAAUCACUGAGGAAGACACACAGGAGAGUGGUCAAAUUCAGAUUGUGCAUGUAGAGGAGGACAUCCUGAAAAAGGCAGGAGCAACGCUGAUGACGGUGGAGCAAUCCACACUGGAGCAGAGACUCACCUGGAUCUCUGAUAGAAGCAGCCAAACCGUCACAGAAACACAGCAGGAGUCUGAGGAAGAGGAGGAGCUCUGUAAGGAUCCAGGAGAUGUAGAGGAAGAUACUUCUGGUGAAGACUAUGAAGAUUGCAUGAAAAAUGAGGAUGAGGAGGCAAGAGGAAGAUCACCAACCUCUCUGAAUUCUGAGACUUCCUUCAGCAUGACUGUGGAGAACACAGAUUCUGCAGACGUGGUUUCUUCUACAGAACAGAUUUUGGAGCAAGCAGAAGCAGCUGACUCAAAGGUAGAAGUAGAUACCUCUGUGGCCUCAGGAACAGGUGUGUCAGAAGCUUCAUCUGAAGCAGAUGCCACAGUGGAAAGCCAGUCUCUCCCUGCAGACAUGGUAACCAAUACCUCCUCUGUUACAGAGAUCUCCACGUCCCCUUCCAGAGGCCAGCAGAGGUGUUUGGUCUCCUAG
ensembl:lncRNA